AUGCUUACAACCAGCUUGGACAAGCCUUUGAAGAAUACCCUCCAAAGAACACUGGAAAGAACAACAAUGCCAUGGAAGAAGGAUAAGGACAAACCUUUCCACUCAUUUAUUUUCACAGUUUUGUUAAAUGUAGUGAAUAUGCUUAGCCACACUGAACUAGUCUUUUGUAAAGCACAAAAUUCAUCAAGGAAAGCUUGUAUGACUUCAUAAUUACACAAAACUGAUCCAGGAAAAAGAGAUCAUGAAGUAAUAUAGAGUGUUAAACUGUCUGAAGCUUAUCCAUCCUUUUGUUCAGAUGUAAAACUGAGGCAGAACAAGAACUGACCAAAAGAUUCCUCGCCUCACCUUUUUCCUUGCCCCUCCCCUGCCAUCCCCUCCUUUCCCUUCCCCUCCCCUCCCCUCCCCUUCCCUCCUGAUGUUGAAGUCUGGACCAGUGUGGAAGACAGAAUGAGCACACCACCUCCAAUCUUCAUCAUCUACGCCCGAACUCCUCUUGUGUAGUGUGUGUGGGAGUCUCUCACAAGCAUCACACUCAAAAAGCUAUCUUUCUGUGGUGAUUUAUCCAUCAGUUCAAGUGCUGGCUGCUGUAAAAGAGCUCCUUGUUUCUAUGCUCACAAGUACCACUUACAGUACCAAGGGACUUUGGCCAAAACUAGCCAGUCUAUAUAACUACAAAAAAAGAAAAAUAGUGCCUUCUGCUAGCUCAGAUUAUGAUGUGCAUGCAAAAAUGGAUGCACACAUAUAUCUGAAAUGGCAACACUGGCAAUUUUGAUAGUUCUCAAGCUGGUCCAAUAUGUCACUGUCAGUAUGCUUAGUUGUCGGGUGUUUGUACCUCAUGUGAACAUCUUUUUCCAGACCUGGUAAUAGGCUGCCAUCCAUAAAAGCAUAUUUAACUGUAAGUAGUAUUUCUUCAUACUGUUUACUUACUGUCUGUUUUCACUUCUUUGUUUUGUCUCCCAUUUAUCAGCUAAAACAAAAUGUAGGUGCUUUUAUAAAACUUUUCAACAAAAGUUUUUGCUGCUAAAAAGGCCCAAACUCAAACCUCAGGUUUUGCCAUGGGCUGUAAGCCCUGUGGUUCCUCAGAAACCAAAGUCAACACAGCACAAAGCCAUUUCUGAGACCACAGAGGACUGGAGUGUUGAGCAGGUCUUCUCCUUUGCUCCAAGUGCACUUGGAAUCCUUAUUGUGCUGUUAGCUUACAAGACCCUAAGAGAAGAAUUAUCACCUUGCAGUGUAUCACUAGUGGAGACCAAAGUUGUCUCACUGUAAAUAAGAGGUCUGCUACAAUGGCAGUCUCAGUAAAUAAUCCUUGUGUCUGGAUUCAGAUUCUGACUUCUUUGUUCUAGCAAGAUGUUGGAUCUGAUGGUCUGGAGUUUAAUUCUUUGUGGAGCUGGAGAGCUAAAGAGAAUCAAGAAAGAGAAUUAUGAUUUUUGUAUUGCCUCUACAUUUGAAGAUUGUGUAUACUGCAUGAGGAAACUUUCUCUAUGUUUUCCAAGAGAGGGUCAUUGAAAAUAUGCCAGAUACAUUUAAAUGAACCUAUUAAAAAGUUUGGAAAAUUUGGAAAUAUGAGGAAAAAAUAAAGGGAAAAAUUGAGUAUUGCUUUCAAAUUUUCAGACUUACAUUUUAAUGGAAAUAUUUAAUUAAAUGAUGCCAAACUAGUAUUUCAUCUGCAGAUCUUCAUUUGGGCUUAAGAUCUAUGUGUCUUGGUAACCGUAGGAAAGUUGUUUUCUGAAUACAUAACUAGCUCCUGUAGCUCAAAAAAAGAAAAAAUGUGAAAAAAUUUUAGUAAAGAUAGAAAAUUUUG
rnacentral:lncRNA from 13 species